rnacentral:misc_RNA from 1 species
GCGAGUGGGUUUAGAUUCAACCAUAGUUUUGCCGAGAUCUAGCACAGCUCUUGAAUUCAUCCCCGAGUUGGAUGCAAGACUAGUAGUUGAAGCUAUCCAAAAAUGGAAUAUAUCUCAGAAACAAAACCGUAGGGCUCAAGAUAAUAGCAUUGAUAUAUAUGGUGACAAUGGAGGUUUCGAAUGCAACAAAAAUUAUUGUGAAAAAAUGAAUGGGAAACCUGUUCUUCUUGAAGCUAGUGGCAAUGUCUUGAAGGCAAAGACUUGCAGGGAGGAACAAUACCAUCUGUAUAUU